UCCGGGUUGGACCCGGCGGUCCCGCCAGACAUGGUAACUGGCAGCGAGGGUUGCGCUCGUUGCGGGACUUAACCCAACACCUCACGACACGAGCUGACGACAGCCAUGCAGCACCUGUGUUCCAGUCCCCGAAGGGAAGAGACCCAUCUCUGGGAAUCGUCCGGACAUGUCAAACGCUGGUAAGGUUCUGCGCGUUGCUUCGAAUUAAACCACAUGCUCCACCGCUUGUGCAGGCCCCCGUCAAUUCAUUUGAGUUUUAACCUUGCGGCCGUACUCCCCAGGCGGAUAACUUAAUGCGUUAGCUGCGCCACCGAAGCUCUAAGGGCCCCGACAACUAGUAGACAUCGUUUAGGGCGUGGACUAC
rnacentral:misc_RNA from 1 species